GUGAGAAGCUCAAAGUGUACCUGAAAUGGGAAUGAAGAAGAAAAGACCUUGUACUGAGGAAGGAAAGUGCCUCUCACAUAACUGCAGAUCUGGAGUUUGUCAUUGAAGGCUUUAUUCUGCCUGGGUUCCUUCCUGUGCUGCCUACUCUCCGUUUCCUGGUGCCAUGCUGCGCAGCCACAUACUCCGCCACGAUGAUGGAUUGAACCCUUCGAGUUCAUAAACAAAAUAAACCUUCCUUUCUUGG
rnacentral:lncRNA from 1 species